rnacentral:misc_RNA from 1 species
GAAAUGCGAUAAGUAAUGUGAAUUGCAGAAUUCAGUGAAUCAUCGAAUCUUUGAACGCACAUUGCGCCCCUUGGUAUUCCGGGAGGCAUGCCUGUUCGAGCGUCGUAACGAACUCAAGCUUGGCUUGAUGAUGGAUACUUGCCUCUCUAAGGCUAAUCCGUAAAUCAUGGUGGUUUAUCUCUGUCCUUCAGCGUUGUUAGCCAAACACACUGUGGAGUGACAGAUCCUUAAGCUUACCGACCCCCUAUAUAUAUCAAGAAUGACCUCGAAUCAGGUAGGGAUACCCGCUGAACUUAA